rnacentral:rRNA from 1 species
UGAUCAGAGGAGCUGGGCUCCUUGCGAGCUCAACCUAUUCUCAAACUUUCAAUGGGUGAGACGUCUCGCUGGCUUCACUGCAGCGACGACUCUGAAUCCGAGUGCCCAGUGGGCCACUUUUGGUAAGCAGAACUGGCGAUGCGGGAUGAACCGCAUGUCGAGUUAAGGUGCCUAAGCGGACGCAAAUCAGAUACCAUGAAAGGUGUUGAUUGCUCACGACAGCAGGACGGUGGCCAUGGAAGUCGGCAUCCGCUAAGGAGUGUGUAACAACUCACCUGCCGAAGCAAUCAGCCCUGAAAAUGGAUGGCGCUAAAGCGUUCCACCGAUACUCGACCGUCGUCGGCACGCGACCGGCCUCGGCCGGUCUCAGGCCACGACGAGUAGGGCGGCGCGGUGGUGAGCGUCGAAGGCGUAGCCGUGAGGCUAGCUGGAGCCGCCAUCGGUGCAGAUCUUGGUGGUAGUAGCAAAUACACAAGCAAGAUCCUUGUGGACCGAUGUGGAGAAGGGUUCCGCGCGAACAGUACUUGGACGUGGGUGAGUCGGCCCUAAGCCAACGGGUAAUUCCCGCAUCCCG